UGUGUGCAAGUGGUAGGAGAGCGUUCUAUUUGCGUCGAAGGUAUACCGGUAAGGAGUGCUGGAGCGAAUAGAAGUGAGCAUGCAGGCAUGAGUAGCGAUAAUUAAUGUGAGAAUCAUUAACGCCGUAAACCCAAGGUUUCCUACGCGAUGCUCGUCAUCGUAGGGUUAGUCGGGUCCUAAGUCGAGUCCGAAAGGGGUAGACGAUGGCAAAUUGGUUAAUAUUCCAAUACCAACAUUAGUGUGCGAUGGAAGGACGCUUAGGGCUAAGGGGGCUAGCGGAUGGAAGUGCUAGUCUAAGGUCGUAGGAGGUUAUACAGGCAAAUCCGUAUAACAAUACUCCGAGAACUGAAAGGCUUUUUGAAGUCUUCGGAUGGAUAGAAGAACCCCUGAUGCCGUCGAGCCAAGAAAAGUUUCUAAGUUUAGCUAAUGUUGCCCGUACCGUAAACCGACACAGGUGGGUGGGAUGAGUAUUCUAAGGCGCGUGGAAGAACUCUCUUUAAGGAACUCUGCAAAAUAGCACCGUAUCUUCGGUAUAAGGUGUGGUUAGCUUUGUAUUAGGAUUUACUCCGAAAGCAAGGAAACUUACAACAAAGAGUCCCUCCCGACUGUUUACCAAAAACACAGCACUCUGCUAACUCGUAAGAGGAUGUAUAGGGUGUGACGCCUGCCCGGUGCUCGAAGGUUAAUUGAUGGGGUUAGCAUUAGCGAAGCUCUUGAUCGAAGCCCGAGUAAACGGCGGCCGUAACUAUAACGGUCCUAAGGUAGCGAAAUUCCUUGUCGGUUAAAUACCGACCUGCAUGAAUGGCGUAACGAGAUGGGAGCUGUCUCAAAGAGGGAUCCAGUGAAAUUGUAGUGGAGGUGAAAAUUCCUCCUACCCGCGGCAAGACGGAAAGACCCCGUGGACCUUUACUACAGCUUGACACUGCUACUUGGAUAAGAAUGUGCAGGAUAGGUGGGAGGCUUUGAGUAUAUGACGCCAGUUGUAUAUGAGCCAUUGUUGAGAUACCACUCUUUCUUAUUUGGGUAGCUAACCAGCUUGAGUUAUCCUCAAGUGGGACAAUGUCUGGUGGGUAGUUUGACUGGGGCGGUCGCCUCCCAAAUAAUAACGGAGGCUUACAAAGGUUGGCUCAGAACGGUUGGAAAUCGUUCGUAGAGUAUAAAGGUAUAAGCCAGCUUAACUGCAAGACAUACAAGUCAAGCAGAGACGAAAGUCGGUCUUAGUGAUCCGGUGGUUCUGUGUGGAAGGGCCAUCGCUCAAAGGAUAAAAGGUACCCCGGGGAUAACAGGCUGAUCUCCCCCAAGAGCUCACAUCGACGGGGAGGUUUGGCACCUCGAUGUCGGCUCAUCGCAUCCUGGGGCUGGAGCAGGUCCCAAGGGUAUGGCUGUUCGCCAUUUAAAGCGGUACGCGAGCUGGGUUCAGAACGUCGUGAGACAGUUCGGUCCCUAUCUGCCGUGGGCGUAAGAAGAUUGAAGAGAUUUGACCCUAGUACGAGAGGACCGGGUUGAACAAACCACUGGUGUAGCUGUUGUUCUGCCAAGAGCAUCGCAGCGUAGCUAAGUUUGGAAAGGAUAAACGCUGAAAGCAUCUAAGCGUGAAGCCAACUCUAAGAUGAAUCUUCUCUAAGCUCUCUAGAAGACUACUAGUUUGAUAGGCUGGGUGUGUAAUGGAUGAAAGUCCUUUAGCUGACCAGUACUAAUAGAGCGUUUGGCUUAUCUUUAAUAAAGCAU
rnacentral:rRNA from 1 species